rnacentral:rRNA from 1 species
AGAUUGAACGCUGGCGGCAGGCCUAACACAUGCAAGUCGAGCGGUAGAGAGGUGCUUGCACCUCUUGAGAGCGGCGGACGGGUGAGUAAUGCCUAGGAAUCUGCCUAGUGGUGGGGGAUAACGUUCGGAAACGGACGCUAAUACCGCAUACGUCCUACUGGGGAAAGCGGGGGACCUUCGGGCCUCGCGCGGAACGAUGGGCCUGCGUCCUAUCAGGUAGUUGGUGAGGUAAUGGCUCACCAAGCCGACGACGGGUAGCUGGUCUGAGAGGACGACCAGCCACACGUGGGACUGAGACACGGCCCAGACUCCGUACGGGAGGCAGCAGGUGGGGAAUAGUUGGACAAGUCGGGGGAAACCCUGACUCCAAGCAAGUACCGCGUGUGUAGAAGAAGGCCGUUACGGGUUAGUAAAGUACUACUUUAG